GCCAGUGUAGUUUAGUGGUUUGAGUGUUGGACUAGAACUCUCUGGAGACUAGGGUUCAAAUCCUCGUUUGGCU